UUAAAUUUCUUACAUUAUACCUCUUGAGAUCUGUUUCAGUCUUGUAUUUACAGCCAAUAUAUACUAGUGUUCCAUAACAUUGAAGUACUUAAAUCACUAGUGUCAUUUGAUUAUUGUUUAUUUGAGUUUGAUGUAUCUACUCUUCUGUUUGGUUGUCAAAUAUUAGCCAACUAUCUACUUACAUUGCAUGUGUAUACUUUGUUGCUUCUUUGCUUUUACAUAACGAAUCCUUAAAAUCUCAUUUAGAGUUCAUUUCUGGUGUUUUUCUUUUAGUUUCUCAACUUUGUAUUUUACAAUUUUCAAUACUAUCUUUUUUUACUUGAAUAUAAUCUGUUAAAUUGGAAUGAUCUGUGCAUAUGACGAGUUAAUCGGAUUCCCCUUCAAGACAUCAUGGAUGAUGCAGACCCGAGUUUCUGAUGCACUUGUUUUCGGUCUUUUUCUAUUUAUUGUUUUAUUGCUUAAGUUUUUUCAGAUAUA